rnacentral:misc_RNA from 1 species
GAUGAAGAACGUAGCGAAAUGCGAUAAGUAAUGUGAAUUGCAGAAUUCCGUGAAUCAUCAAAUCUUUGAACGCACAUUGCGCCCCCUGGCAUUCCGGGGGGCAUGCCUGUCCGAGCGUCAUUUCUGCCCUCAAGCACGGCUUGUGUGUUGGGUGUGGUCCCCCCGGGGACCUGCCCGAAAGGCAGCGGCGACGUCCGUCUGGUCCUCGAGCGUAUGGGGCUCUGUCACUCGCUCGGGAAGGACCUGCGGGGGUUGGUCACCACUAUAUUUUACCACGGUUGACCUCGGAUCAGGUAGGAGUUACCCGCUGAACUUAAGCAUAUCAAUAAGCGGAGGA